AUGCAUGUCUAAGCAUAAGCCGAAUAUGGUAAAGCCGCGAAUGGCUCAUUACAACAGCCAUAGUUUAUUGGAUCUUAGAGUCCUACUUGGAUACCUGUGGUAAUUCUAGAGCUAAUACACGCAAUCGAGCCCCAACCUGACGGGCGGGGCGCAUUUAUUAGAACAAAACCAAUUGGCUUCGGCCAUUUAUUGGUGGAUCUGAAUAACUACGCUGAUCGCACGGUCUCGCACCGGCGACGUAUCCUUCAAGUGUCUGCCUUAUCAACUUUCGAUGGUAGUUUACAUGACUACCAUGGUUGUAACGGGUAACGGAGAAUAAGGGUUCGACUCCGGAGAGGGAGCCUGAGAAACGGCUACCACAUCCAAGGAAGGCAGCAGGCGCGCAAAUUACCCACUCUCAGAACGAGGAGGUAGUGACGAAAAAUAACGAGACAGUUCUCUAUGAGGUCUGUCAUCGGAAUGGGUACAAUCUAAACCCUUUAACGAGGAUCUAUUGGAGGGCAAGUCUGGUGCCAGCAGCCGCGGUAAUUCCAGCUCCAAUAGCGUAUAUUAAAGUUGUUGCGGUUAAAAAGCUCGUAGUUGGAUCUGCGGUCACAGACGCCGGUCUCCUUCACGGAGUACUGGUUGUCUUGACCUACCUUACUGGUUUUCCCUUGGUGCUCUUUACUGAGUGCCCUGGGUGGCUAGUACGUUUACUUUGAAAAAAUUAGAGUGCUUAACGCAGGCUUUUGCCUGAAUAGUGGUGCAUGGAAUAAUGGAAUAGGACCUCGGUUCUAUUUUGUUGGUUUUCGGAGCACGAGGUAAUGAUUAAGAGGGACAGACGGGGGCAUUCGUACUGCUGCGUUAGAGGUGAAAUUCUUGGAUCGCAGCAUGACGAACAACUGCGAAAGCAUUUGCCAAGAAUGUUUUCAUUAAUCAAGAACGAUAGUUAGAGGUUCGAAGGCGAUCAGAUACCGCCCUAGUUCUAACCGUAAACGAUGCCAACUAGCAAUCCGCUGGCGUUAAUUCUGACUCAGCGGGCGGCUGCCCGGAAACGAGAAGUUUUUCGGUUCCGGGGGAAGUAUGGUUGCAAAUCCGAAACUUAAAGGAAUUGACGGAAGGGCACCACCAGGAGUGGAGCCUGCGGCUUAAUUUGACUCAACACGGGAAAACUCACCCGGCCCGGACACUGUAAGGAUUGACAGAUUGAAAGCUCUUUCACGAUUCAGUGGGUGGUGGUGCAUGGCCGUUCUUAGUUGGUGGAGCGAUUUGUCUGGUUAAUUCCGAUAACGAACGAGACUCUAGCCUACUAAAUAGUGCGAGGAUCUUUACGUCCUCGUCACUUCUUAGAGGGACAGACGGCGUCUAGCCGUACGAAAUUGAGCAAUAACAGGUCUGUGAUGCCCUUAGAUGUCCGGGGCUGCACGCGCGCUACACUGUAGAAAUCAGCGUGCUUCAAAACCUUUUCUGAAAAGAAUGGGUAACCCCAUGAAACUUCUACGUGAUUGGGAUAGAGAUUUGCAAUUAUCUCUCUUGAACGAGGAAUUCCCAGUAAGUGCGGGUCAUCAGCUCGCGUUGAUUACGUCCCUGCCCUUUGUACACACCGCCCGUCGCUACUACCGAUUGGGAAAAUUUCAGAACCUGUAGAACUGGGACUUGUUCGGCUUCACGGCCUUACUUGUCCUGGAAAUACAUGUAAUGAUAUUUUCCUAGAGGAAGUAAAAGUCGUAACAAGGUUUCCGUAGUGAACCUGCGAAGGGAUC
rnacentral:rRNA from 1 species